rnacentral:tRNA from 1 species
CGGCAGUUCCCGGGCGGCCAGGAUCGGAGCGACCUUCGACGCCGUUCCCGGGCUCGCCGGGGUCGGAUGCGUGUCGUUCCGGUCCGACGACGGUCGC